CUUCGAGCUGGUGAUGGGAAGCUGUCUGCUGAGAGAAGACGAUACGUUGGAAUCAUACCCAAACCCAUCAACACAAUAAGGGAUGUGCGACUGUAGCUGAUGCUGAGUCUUCCAAGCCCACCUGUGACGCCUCGCCUGAUAUUACUAGGUGAACGACAAGGUAAUCAUCAAAAGUGGAUGGUCAGCAUUGAAUCCUUAAUCGUUUGUGAAGGGUCCAACCUCGCCACAUUUCUAACAGGGAUUAUGACAUGUUUCUCCACCUUCUAUAUUCUGAAUCUGCAAUAUCAGGAGGAGGCAGCGUGCACCCUUGAAUUCUUCCAGAGAAAAAGGCCCAGAAGAAGCCUAAGAACAAUCACUAAUAAGUAAAGUGAAUGUUACUUGAUUUCUCAUGAAUGUUACUUGAUUCCCUC